AGAAGAAGCUGCAAGGAAGAAGAAAUUGAUCGGAAUAAGAUGCUGCACACAUUGACACAAAUCCAUGGAAUCGAGUAUAAAAACAUUGGCUACAAUCUGUAAAAAUACUGACCUGUGUAAAUCAGUACGCUUCAUUCGUUAUUUCUUAAAAAAAUUCGUCCUUUUGAUGCAAAGUUUCCUUCUGUACGCAGACAAGUGCACAUCUGAAUACUCGCAGACACACGCUCCGCAAGUAAGAGAGAAGAAUAAU